GACGAACGCUGGCGGCGUGCUUAACACAUGCAAGUCGAACGGAAAGGCCCUGCUUUUGUGGGGUGCUCGAGUGGCGAACGGGUGAGUAACACGUGAGUAACCUGCCCUUGACUUUGGGAUAACUUCAGGAAACUGGGGCUAAUACCGGAUAGGAGCUCCUGCUGCAUGGUGGGGGUUGGAAAGUUUCGGCGGUUGGGGAUGGACUCGCGGCUUAUCAGCCUGUUGGUGGGGUAGUGGCUUACCAAGGCUUUGACGGGUAGCCGGCCUGAGAGGGUGACCGGCCACAUUGGUACUGAGAUACGGCCCAGACCCCUACGGGAGGCAGCAGUGGGGAAUAUUGCACAAUGGGCGGAAGCCUGAUGCAGCAACGCCGCGUGCGGGAUGACGGCCUUCGGGUUGUAAACCGCUUUCGCCUGUGACGAAGCGUGAGUGACGGUAAUGGGUAAAGAAGCACCGGCUAACUACGUG
rnacentral:rRNA from 1 species